GGCAGGGCAGCCACCGGAGGCAAAGGAAAGCGCUCAUGGGCAGUGUCCAAGAAAAGCCACUGUUGGUGGCCGUCAGAAUCCCCUGCCUACAGGACAGUUCAGUGACCAGAAUUUCCAGAGAACACACUGCUCUGAUUCCAGAGGAGGGCAACGUAUAAGGUUUUUAGAUGACCCAGAGACACUAAGUGACUCACCCAUAGUCACACAGCAAGCACGUGGCAGCAUGAGGACCAAACCUGGGGCUGCUGACUCUGGGCUUAGUGCUCCCUGCAUCCUACCUUGUCGCCCAGGACCCAGGCCAGCUUCCUGGACAUGUGACCUGUGCAUUCACCUAGGGCCCUGUGCUUGGUUUAAUGCUCUGCUAUGCCAGUCUUGAAAUUUUUAAUAAUUUUCAAAAAUGGGGCCCCACAUUUUAAUUCUCCUCUGGGGCUCAGAAAUUAUACGGCAUGUCCUGCCAGGACCUAUGUGGGUAUGAUUCCAGGAUUAGUCAUGUCUCCCUGGAGAGCCGUGUUCCAGAACCAUGACUUUCUAAUGCUCUAUCUUGAGGAUCAAAGACAGAAGCUGCCAGCAAGGGAGGAUCACCCAGGACUCUCUCUCCUUGGCCUUGGCUUCUGUUUGUUGCUUCAUUCAUGGCAACUGCUUACUGGUUGGCGUGUUCCAUUCCAGCUCUUCCUGGGGCUCCUCCCUGUGCUGGGAGGUGGCCUGGAGCAGAUGCCAGCAAUACCGCCAGAGUCGGCCGGCCUCAGAGUAGCUGGUGCAAAAGUGAAAAACCCUCUCCUCGGGCGUAAGCACUGGCUGUUUGGUAUAUUGCCAAGAGAGUUUAGCUAUUAUUUUUGUUUAUUUGUUUUCCCAUUAGCUGAUUUUGCAGUGAAUUGCCUGAAAUGAACAGUUGUUUUGAUGUUGUGUGUGUUUUUGUUGUAUAGAGUUGGUUUCUUUUGUGGUGGGAUUGCGCCAAGUUAUAGGCUCAGCUGAUUAAGAGUGGAACCUGCUCAUAAAAGCUAAUUUAUCAGCUUAACUGUCUUCUUCCUUCCAAGGCUGGUCCUCGGCAGUGCUCGGAGAUGAGCACCGUCCGUCCACACUCUCCCCUUUCCUCUGGGCAUUCCCUGACAUUCUUCCCACCACAUAAAGUGCCCACACGCUCCACCUCGGCCUGGAACAUUGCUCUGCGUUUUCCUUCCCCAUCGGUUUACCUGUACUGGUCCUUAUUUCCUUGGAGAUCGUGCCCUCUGCUGCCUGACGGCCCACCUCCCUGAUGGUGCCUCCUGAGAUCACUUCUCAGAUACACCCCACACACACUCGCAGCCGUGUGUCAGGGUGUGCCUGUGCUGAACCCAGCCCUCGCUGGGUAGGAUGAGGGCUACCCUCUCACCUACCUGGGACCGAGACAGCCUGUCUUUGGGGCAGAGAAGGACAGACCUGCGGACAGGCUGCAGGAAGAGCCCCUGGGCUUCAGCUGCCUUUUAAGGAAAGUAGUGAAACGUCAUACUUCCCAGGAUAUGCUGCUGUGGCUUGUGCUACGCAUGGUAAGGGACAGCACCGCUGCCACUGUCACCGCAGGGGACAGACCAGGGGUUGGCACAGCUUGGACACUUCAGAGGCGGAUGCAGCUCCAGACUGUGAUUGUAUGAGGACAAACGCACCCAACGGACCCGCUGUCUGGGGAACGUAAUGCUGGGCGGACGGAGAGGGCAGAGUAAUGUGAAAAGGAGUCACAGACACGCCUGUCUUCAUCAACCUGGGAAGUCGAGAGACUUGAGAAUGCCGCACCAGCCCCGCGCAGCAGGAAUCCCAGCGAAUGCCAUCCCCCACAAAGGACCCCGUCGGGCAGCCGUGAACGACAGGCCAUGAUGUGACCUUGGACCGGUGCUGAGGAACUGCACUUCUCCUGGUGCCGUCCAGAAAGGAGCCAGGGAACAGCCCUUCAUGGAGGCUGCCUUCCUUGAUUGGCACCUUCUUUUACCUCUGAAGCAUUUUGCCAUCUCCUACCUGUUCUCUCUCUGGGUUCUUCUUUGGUCCAUU